UAACUCAGUUGAUAGAGUGCUUGCCUCACAUGCAUAAGACCCUAGGUUCAAUUCCUAG
rnacentral:tRNA from 1 species